rnacentral:tRNA from 1 species
GGUCUAAUAGUGUAGAGGUUAUCACACGGGAUUCUGACUCAGUAAUUUCCCGUGACCCCGGUUGGAGUCCUGUCAGUGUUAGACCU